CCUACGGGUGGCAGCAGUGAGGAAUAUUGGUCAAUGGACGAGAGUCUGAACCAGCCAAGUAGCGUGAAGGAUGACUGCCCUAUGGGUUGUAAACUUCUUUUAUAUGGGAAUAAAACGUUCCACGUGUGGGAUUUUGUAUGUACCAUAUGAAUAAGGAUCGGCUAACUCCGUGCCAGCAGCCGCGGUAAUAAGGAGGAUCCGAGCGUUAUCCGGAUUUAUUGGGUUUAAAGGGAGCGUAGGUGGAUUGUUAAGUCAGUUGUGAAAGUUUGCGGCUCAACCGUAAAAUUGCAUGUGAAACUGGCAGUCUUGAGUACAGUAGAGGUGGGCGGAAUUCGUGGUGUAGCGGUGAAAUGCUUAGAUAUCACGAAGAACUCCGAUUGCGAAGGCAGUUCACUGAACUGCAACUGACACUGAUGCUCGAAAGUGUGGGUAUCAAACAGGAUUAGAUACCCGAGUAGUC
rnacentral:rRNA from 1 species